rnacentral:rRNA from 1 species
UACGUAGGGUGCAAGCGUUGUCCGGAAUUAUUGGGCGUAAAGAGCUCGUAGGCGGUUUGUUGCGUCGGCUGUGAAAUCCCGAGGCUCAACCUCGGGUCUGCAGUCGAUACGAGCAAACUAGAGUGUUGCAGGGGAGACUGGAAUUCCUGGUGUAGCGGUGAAAUGCGCAGAUAUCAGGAGGAACACCGGUGGCGAAAGGCGGGUCUC